GGUCCCUACGGGGGGCAGCAGUGGGGGAUAUUGCACAAUGGGGGGAACCCUGAUGCAGCGACGCCGCGUGGGUGAAGAAGCGCCUCGGCGCGUAAAGCCCUGUCAGCAGGGAAGAAAAUGACGGUACCUGAAGAAGAAGCCCCGGCUAACUACGUGCCAGCAGCCGCGGUAAUACGUGGGGGGCAAGCGUUGUCCGGAUUUACUGGGUGUAAAGGGCGUGCAGCCGGAGAGACAAGUCAGAUGUGAAAUCCACGGGCUCAACCCGUGAACUGCAUUUGAAACUGUUUCCCUUGAGUGUCGGAGAG
rnacentral:rRNA from 1 species